rnacentral:rRNA from 1 species
AGAGUUUGAUCAUGGCUCAGGAUGAACGCUGGCGGCAUGCCUAAGACAUGCAAGUCGUACGAAGGGGCCCAAUGAGAGGAAUUGAAAUUCAGAGUGCUUGCACAAAGAAUGGAUUUUCUUGGAUUUGGAUUUUCCCCUUAGUGGCAAACGGGUGAGUAACACGUGGGUUACCUACCUCUAAGAUGGGGAUAACAGUUGGAGACGACUGAUAAUACCGAAUGUGCUCUACGGAGUAAAGAAGCCCUUAAAGCUUCGCUUAGAGAUGGGCCUGCGGCGUAUUAGCUAGUUGGUGGGGUAAUGGCCUACCAAGGCGACGAUGCGUAGCCGAACUGAGAGGUUGAUCGGCCACACUGGGACUGAGACACGGCCCAGACUUCUACGGGAGGCA